rnacentral:rRNA from 1 species
UACGUAGGUGGCAAGCGUUAUCCGGAUUUACUGGGUGUAAAGGGCGUGUAGGCGGGAGAGCAAGUCAGACGUGAAAUUCCAGGGCUCAACCCUGGAACUGCGUUUGAAACUGUUCUUCUUGAGUGAUGGAGAGGCAGGCGGAAUUCCGUGUGUAGCGGUGAAAUGCGUAGAUAUACGGAGGAACACCAGUGGCGAAGGCGGCCUGCUGGACAUUAACUGACGCUGAGGCGAGAAAGCGUGGGGAGCAAACAGG